rnacentral:rRNA from 1 species
UACGUAGGUGGCGAGCGUUGUCCGGAAUCAUUGGGCGUAAAGAGCGUGUAGGCGGCCACUUAAGUCCUGCGUGAAAUCUUGCGGCUCAACCGCAAGCGGUCGUGGGAAACUGGGUGGCUAGAGUGCGGGAGAGGAGAGUGGAAUUCCUGGUGUAGCGGUGGAAUGCGCAGAUAUCAGGAAGAACACCCGUGGCGAAGGCGGCUCUCUGGAACGCAACUGACGCUGAGACGCGAAAGCGUGGGGGAGCAAACAGG